AUUGAACGCUGGCGGCAGGCCUAACACAUGCAAGUCGAGCGGAGCGGCGGACGGGUGAGUACUGCCUAUGAAUCUGCCUGCUCGUGGGGGAUAACGUCCGUAAACGGGCGCUAAUACCGCAUACUAUCAUAUGCGCCUAGGUCGGAUUAGCUAGUUGGUGGGUUAAAGGCCGACCAAGGCGACGAUCCGUAACUGGUCUGAGAGGAUGAUCAGUCACACUGGAACUGAGACACGGUCCAGAAUCCUACGGGAGGCAGCAGUGGGGAAUAUUGGACAAUGGGCGAAAGCCUGAUCCAGCCAUGCCGCGUGUGUGAAGAAGGUCUUAGGAUUGUAAAGCACUUUAAGUUGGGAGGCGUUACCAACAGAAUAAGCACCGGCUAACUUCGUGCCAGCAGCCGCGGUAAUAC
rnacentral:rRNA from 1 species